rnacentral:rRNA from 1 species
CUGACGAGUGGCGGACGGGUGAGUAAUGUCUGGGAAACUGCCCGAUGGAGGGGGAUAACUACUGGAAACGGUAGCUAAUACCGCAUAACGUCGCAAGACCAAAGAGGGGGACCUUCGGGCCUCUUGCCAUCGGAUGUGCCCAGAUGGGAUUAGCUAGUAGGUGGGGUAACGGCCCACCAAGGCGACGAUGCGUAGCCGACCUGAGAGGGUGACCGGCCACACUGGGACUGAGACACGGCCCAG